AACUAGAGACACGGGAGUCCCGGGUGAUGCGGGGCUGAGAGUGGGCACAACCGGAGCCGCCGGACCUGCCCUUACCGUCACACCUGAUCCGGAUCAUGCCGGCGAAGGGAGCUGAGGAUGAUUUCAG
rnacentral:ncRNA from 1 species